CAAGUCUGGUGCCAGCAGCCGCGGUAAUUCCAGCUCCAAUAGCGUAUAUUAGAGUUGUUGCAGUUAAAAAGCUCGUAGUUGGAUUUCUGUCGGUGCUAUCCGGUUCCGCCUGUAUAGGUGUGCACCAGGAUUGGCUUCGGCAUUCUUCCGUAGCUUAAUCCCGCUUCAUUGCGUGGAUUGGGUGUUUCGGAACUUUUACUUUGAGAAAAAUAGAGUGUUUCAAGCAGGCUUGUCGCCUUGAAUACUGCAGCAUGGAAUAAUAAGAUAGGACCUUGGUUCUAUUUUGUUGGUUUCUAGGACUAAGGUAAUGAUUAAUAGGGACAGUUGGGGGCAUUCGUAUUUAACUGUC
rnacentral:rRNA from 1 species